AUUCCCAACUGACAUCCUCAACAGAAAUGAGAAGUUAGAACCCUUUCAACAGAAAUCGAGAAAGAGCAGGCCCAAGGCGAUGGCUCAAAUGUUCAUUUGACUCCCUUUCCAUUAAUAUAAGAUGCUUGUGACUCCCACUGAGUAUUCCUAAUGCCUCCCUAUUAAAGGAAAGAGGCCUCUAUAAUCAAUCCACAUCCUCCACCUUCGGAGAUGUGCCUGGCAGUGAGGAUUCACUCCCACUUUCUCUCGUCUAAUGUCUUCCAGAUGCCAAGACAGAAAGCUAUAUUCGAAGUUCAUUACAAGUGCCAUCAUUCUUGGGUGCUGAGGAAAUUGCCAGAGUCCAGGGAAAAGCUGUGAAAGUCGGGAACUUCCCAGCAAUUUGAAGCCAGGUGUUAACUUCUACCACAGCCUUCAUCACCAGUAGAAAUAAAGGGGGGAAACCCCCUAAAGUUGGGCAGCAAA